AUUGAACGCUGGCGGCAUGCUUUACACGUGCAAGUCGAACGGCAGCGCGGGCUUCGGCCUGGCGGCGAGUGGCGAACGGGUGAGUAAUACAUCGGAACGUGCCCAGUAGUGGGGGAUAGCUCGGCGAAAGCCGGAUUAAUACCGCAUACGACCUGAGGGUGAAAGCGGGGGAUCUUCGGACCUCGCGCUAUUGGAGCGGCCGAUGGCAGAUUAGCUAGUUGGUGGGGUAAAGGCCUACCAAGGCGACGAUCUGUAGCUUGUCUGAGAGGACGACCAGCCACACUGGGACUGAGACACGGCCCAGACUCCUACGGGAGGCAGCAGUGGGGAAUUUUGGACAAUGGGCGAAAGCCUGAUCCAGCAAUGCCGCGUGUGUGAUGAAGGCCCUCGGGUUGUAAAGCACUUUUGGCGGGAACGCAAAGGACUGUGCCAAUACCACGGUUCGAUGACGGUACCCGCAGAAUAAGCACCGGCUAACUACGUG
rnacentral:rRNA from 1 species